rnacentral:rRNA from 1 species
UACAGAGGUCUCAAGCGUUGUUCGGAUUCAUUGGGCGUAAAGGGUGCGUAGGUGGCGGGGUAAGUCAGGUGUGAAAUCUCGGGGCUCAACUCCGAAACUGCACUUGAUACUGCCUUGCUCGAGUACUGGAGAGGAGAUUGGAAUUUACGGUGUAGCAGUGAAAUGCGUAGAUAUCGUAAGGAAGACCAGUGGCGAAGGCGAAUCUCUGGACAGUUACUGACACUGAGGCACGAAGGCCAGGGGAGCAAACAGG